UUGUGCGAGGUUCUGAAGCCU
rnacentral:miRNA from 1 species